rnacentral:rRNA from 1 species
AGCCCAAGACAGGUGCUGCAUUGGCUGUCGUCAGUCUCGUGUCGUGAGAUGUUGGGUUAAGUCCCGCAACGAGCGCAACCCCUGUCUUUAAUUGCCAUCAUUAAGUUGGGCACUUUAAAGAGACUGCCGGUGUUAAACCGGAGGAAGGUGGGGAUGACGUCAAGUCCUCAUGGCCUUUAUGCCUAGGGCUACACACGCGCUACAAUGGGUGGUACAAAGAGCAGCCAACUCGCGAGAGCGCGCUAAUCCCAUAAAGCCGGUCUCAGUCCGGAUCGCAGUCUGCAACUCGACUGCGUGAAGUUGGAAUCGCUAGUAAUCGUAGAUCAGCAUGCUACGGUGAAUACGUUCCCGGGCCUU